rnacentral:rRNA from 1 species
GAUGAACGCUGGCGGCGUGCCUAAUACAUGCAAGUCGAGCGAACAGACGAGGAGCUUGCUCCUCUUACGUUAGCGGCGGACGGGUGAGUAACACGUGGAUAACCUACCUAUAGGACUGGGAUAACUUCGGGAAACCGGAGCUAAUACCGGAUAAUAUAUUGAACCGCAUGGUUCAAUAGUGAAAGACGGUUUUGCUGUCACUUAUAGAUGGAUCCGCGCCGCAUUAGCUAGUUGGUAAGGUAACGGCUUACCAAGGCGACGAUGCGUAGCCGACCUGAGAGGGUGAUCGGCCACACUGGAACUGAGACACGGUCCAGACUCCUACGGGAGGCAGCAGUAGGGAAUCUUCCGCAAUGGGCGAAAGCCUGACGGAGCAACGCCGCGUGAGUGAUGAAGGUCUUCGGAUCGUAAAACUCUGUUAUUAGGGAAGAACAAAUGUGUAAGUAACUAUGCACGUCUUGACGGUACCUAAUCAGAAAGCCACGGCUAACUACGUG